GAAAGGGUGUUGUCUCUGGUAUACAUCUGACCUUGUGAUUAUGUGUUGUUUCAAUCUUAGAUGUGCAGUAUUCAACAAUGUCUGACGAGUAAUUGCCAAAGUGCUACUCUGUUCAUGUUCGUUUUCCCCUACAUUCCAAUUGUUUUGGGGCAGAAAUUCCUCUAAUCUCUUGACUCUGUUUUCAGAGAUUCGGUGUGGUUCAGAUUCUCAUGCUGGAGGAAAAGGAGGGUGCUCCCAAUCAGAUGGAGCUCAUUACCUUAGCAACAAGCCUGUGAAUGGUCUGUCUCGUUUCCCUCUCCCAUUUAUUAUUUUUCAGAACAACAUUUUUGCACUGUCUGACUACUGAUUGGCAAAGGGCUACUCUUAGAUCAUGUCUUAUUUUCUUUUCGCUCCAAUUGUUUUCGCUCCAAUUGUAAUGGAAUGAGUGUGAGUAUGGGGUAGUGUAAUCCUGUAACUUAUCUCGAUAUGGUAUAUAUGGAAAAAUCGUUUUCUAUAAUCUCUGCAUUUAUAUUAGUUGGGAAUAGUAAGUCUUGGAUUAUCUAUCCUUCAGAAUUCGAGAUUUUCUGUUUUGACGGGGGAAAAUACUCCAUGAUUUUGUAGUGGGUUUAAUUGUUUUUAGCAUAAUGAACAUGUGCUUUGCUUUCAUAGAAGUUGUAUUUGCAAUGGUGUGUGAAUGGUGUGUUUCCAGUGAAUGGUGUGUUUCCAGUGACCAUACUUUCAUAGAAGUUGUAUUUGCAAUGCAAUUAUUUUGUCUAUAUCCUAGAUAUAACCACAAUAUUGCAAUUUGAAAUUUGUUCUUGUGCUUUGGUUGUACAAUUGGCAAAAUGAAGACUACAUGCUUUUGUUAAGCAAUCAAAAUCUCCUUGGUGCAAAUGCUUCAAUCCAAGCUUAUCAAUCAUAUUUGUGUAUUUGUGCAUAUAAAUUUCUUUGCUGCAUGGUGCAUUGGAUCAAGGCAUAAAGUUACUUUGACCCUGACAAGGACAUCUCUUAAUUAAUAAUGAUGUACAUGGAUAGCAGUACCACCAAACAUUUGAGAUAGUUUGAGAAAGCAAAAUGGCACUAUCUUACUUUACUGGCAUAUGGUAUUCUGGUGAGUUGAAAUAUUUAUUAUUUAGAUGGUUCUGGUUGGUUAGUUUGUGAAAGCAAAAUGACACUAUUUUACUUUAUUGGUAUAUGGUAUUCUGACGAGUUGAAAUAUUUAUUAUCUAGCUGGUUCUGGUUGGUCUCUUAAAAUAAUGUAAUGCAUUUUUACUUGUGACUCGUAAGAUAUCUGAGCAAUUGGCAGAUGAUUUACUCUAUGUUUAAUUUUUUCUCAGUUGCUUAGGAUCCAUUGCAGCAGGUAUUUUCUGGCUCAAAUUUUACAGAUUGAAGGUAUGAGCUCAUAACUGAAGCUUUCACUUAGAUGGCAUGAACACCUAUUUUGUACAAUUAAAUAUAGCUACAUCUUAUGUGGUCUUUUUACUCUGGAGCACAUGAACUUCUCACCCGAUGAAGGAAAAAUUACCAGUUUAAUCUCGAUGUUAAAUAAAUAAAUAAAAAUCCUAUAUAGUUAAGGUGCAACAUGAUUUUGUUGUGAAAGGAAUUAGUAUGCUCUUUCCUUGAACCAGAAUUAGUCUGGUGUAAACAGUUACUAAAGUUUAAUAGGUUCCACGUGAUGGCUUUUAUACUACUUUAUUUAUUGUAUGUGCUACAGUGAUAAUGUUACACAGUUGAUGCAUUAUUUCCCUUGUUCAGGUAAGUAACACAAGGGAUAUUCCAUGCUCUACCUAUGACCGCUCUUGGGGCUGUUUUGUGUAGUUAAUUUCUAACACAAGUUUUAACAGCCAAUUCUUUUGGGAUCAUGUGCAAUUUGCUGUUAAAAUGAGGUAUGACAAACUUGGGCUUAAAAAUGAUUAGUUAGCACUGAUUGCUCUGAAGUAAGACAAUGGACCUUUAUAUGUAAAUAACUUCUUCAGUACUCAAAAACUCUAACCAAUUAUUAUUAAUGAUGUACAAUGUGCUCAUCCUGAUAAUGAAGUGCAUCUGAGCAUUUGAAACGAAUCUAGAUUCUAGCUCUAGCUAAGGUUAUACAGAUAUUGUGCUGAACCUUGAUGCUACUAUUAUGUGUAGUAAAAUUUUUGGGGUCGGAAUUGACCAAACUUAUGGAUUUAUUCAACGUUUCAAUUCAGUGACAAAUGCUACUAUUUUCUAUAUUCAGAUACUUGGUACUGAUUUCUUGAUCAAACUCAUUAAACUUAGCAUUCCUUAUAGUUAUCCCCACACGCUGAGGUUGCGCCUGUGCCAGGGCAGAAGACACGCCUACAUCGUGGACGGAUAUGCGCUGCCAUGGACUGACCUCAGCACAGAUCGUGAUUGAUUUGUGGGUGACCCCGGUUUGAUGUCUGGUUGUUGGGCUGCGCAGGUGGGCUGUCGCUUGGGAUCGAAAAGGAUAGGGCAUCUACUGCCACCAUGGGGUUUGUCGACGACUCCAAAGGGCAUGCUGUCGCUACCAGAAGUGGAGCGAGUGCCCAUCCUCGACGCAGGCCUCCCCACCGCGACUAGAAGUAGGAGUACAUUGUACCAUUAGCAAUAUAUUCAGUCGUGAGGUCAGUUCUCCUGUCUAUGACAUGCAGACAUAUAACAAACUUGCUACUCAAAUCACCCUCCCUCCAUCUUACAUAGCUCCUGAGGACACUGGUAAAAUUAGUGGAACAAUUUGGACCGAGGAAGUGGUCUUACAUAGCACAACUGCUGCCAGCAGGAGUGGGGAAGCAAUGCAGAGAAAGAUGGCACAACCAUUUGAGGCCAAACAUCAAGUAAUAUUUGGAAUGGUCAUAAGUCAAACUAGACUUCCCUAGCGACAGCGAUUCAACGAAUAAGAACCAGGCCAACAGUUAUGUAGUGCAGAGAUCUACUCCCAGUCCCGGGAACCAGCUUCCAGUGCCUCUUGUACCGAUCAUCGGCAAGGGAGUGCUAGAGGAGGAGGUUAUGGUGAGUCACACGUGGGGGAUCGCUGCCGCUGGGUCAAACACCUCGUGCUUCACCAGAACUGAAGCCGACCCAGUCUCCUUCAUCAACAUGGUGACUCCUCCCACUAUUGAGGUACACAGGCACUCAUGCAUCAUCCACUCUGUCCCAUCCUUGCCGAGCGCAACCCAUGGAAGUGGUGGCACGGACUAAGGUGGUGAGCACGACGGAGAGCCAACCUAUGGAAGAUAUGGAAAUAUCACGGUUCACUUGGACAAUUGAGACAUUCACCAGGUUCAGUGGGAAAGAAGCACCAUUCAGAGGUUUUUGUUGGUGGUGGAUUCAAAUGGUGAGCUCCUGAUCCUUCCACUGUCAUGCCUGCAGAAACCAUGGAGUUUUUUCUACCCCUUCUAUUCUUUAGAGUACUCGUAACAUUUGUUGACCUUCAUGGAGAUGUGUGCUGAUUUUACCCAAGGGGAACAAUGUGGACCACUUCUCAAUGUACUUGGAUGUUGCUGACUCAACCAACCUUUUGUAUGAUUGCACCCCUAACCUACAUAGUUGAGUAUUAGGUUUCUAAAUUUUGAAAUAAACCUUUGUUUCUUCCGUAUGGUUGGAGACUAUGUGAUAUUCCUUAUACUUCUUGUUCAUUUUUUGUUUGAUGAAGGAAGUCUGUAAGUUAACUUUUUUAUACAGUUUAUUUUUGAAGAUAUCUCAUGACUUGUUUCAAUCUUGAUAUCGCAGUAUGCGAAGAAUGACAUUCUUUUCCUUGAUUUCCCCUGUUUUGCGACUCCAGCUGAGGCGCUUUGAGUAUAUGAGAGAUACCAUGGUAAAGGUAAAUGAUCGCUGAGUUCCCUCUGUAACUUGAUCUGAAUAGAGAUGCUAGCAAAUACAUUGCUCCAAAUGCAGAUCGAAGUACAGAAGACCUUUACACUCUUCACAGACAAUGGCUUUUACCACUUACUGUAAUUUGACGAUACGAGAAAGAACAAUUGGAUCUAGAAUUUGAUGAGUAGCCACUCCAUUAUCACAUAUCCAUGGAUGCUUUGAGCAUUUAGAACGAAAAGAUCAUUCUGCCGCAUGAACUAGAGACUGCACGGAUUAAUGAGUUGCUUGGGAAUAUUCAGGCCGUGGUUACUCCUGAAAUGAAUCAGACAACAAUAAUUGAGGAAUUUGACAAGGGACACCAGCUUGAAGAAGUUAAAAC